GAUGAACGCUGACAGAAUGCUUAACACAUGCAAGUCUUUGGCGAAGCUGUGCUUGCACAGCCUAGCCAAGGCGGACGAGUGAGUAACGCGUAAGGAACUUGCCCUGCAGUCAGGGAUAACAGACGGAAACGACUGAUAAGACCUGGUAAAGUCAGGCGGACUCAUGUCCAGCCUGAUGAAAAGAGAUGCUGCAGGAGAGCCUUGCGUCCUAUUAGCUUGUUGGUGGGGUAACGGCCCACCAAGGCGAUGAUAGGUAGCCGGCCUGAGAGGGUGGACGGCCACAAGGGGACUGAGAUACGGCCCUUACUCCUACGGGAGGCAGCAGUGGGGAAUAUUGGACAAUGGGGGCAACCCUGAUCCAGCAAUUCUGUGUGCACGAUGAAGGUUUUCGGAUUGUAAAGUGCUUUCAGCAGGGAAGAAAAAAAUGACGGUACCUGCAGAAGAAGCGACGGCUAAAUACGUG
rnacentral:rRNA from 1 species